AUGGAGCAACGCAAGGUAUCACCGUUACAAGCGUUUCUUUCGCUCUUUGGGAAGUCUACUGUAACAUUACCUUGCCCCAUGGAAUCAGUGAAAUAUGGUUGGACUCCUGAACGAGAGCAUUUAUGUGAGGAUAAGAAACCAGUUCCUCACCAGCAAUCCAGCUGCUCUUCGCCAGCUGUUAUGGCUUGGGACACUUCGUACUACAACGAUGAAGAAGACGAAGAGCUUGCGAGAAAAAGGAGAGAAUUGCAGUUAAUUGAGGAACAAAUAGCUCUCAAGAAGGCUUCCAUUGCUUUGAAAAAGAAUAACCUGCAACGAACGCCCCAGUACUGCGAAAAUGAUGAUGAAAAAGAGGAGGAAGAUGAAGAAUGGGACAAUGAAAUCGAGGUGGAAACGGAACAUGAACAAUCUCCACUAUUCACAAACAAUAACUUUCCACAGAGAUCACCCCAUCAAGAGGUUGUAUCUCUCACAGAAAGACAAAUUAGUAUUCUGAAUGAGUUGACACAGCCAUUUGUUUCCUUUGAACCCUCUAAUCCGGAACCACCUUCAUUUAUGAAAAGUUUUCUGGAGAAAAGAAAUGCAGAAAUCUUUCAAAGAGAUUUGGAGCAGAAACAUGAGGCCCAAUCAGACCUCAAAGCAACCUUUACCCCAGAACACAGAGUUGAAGCUUUGAGACCUCACCGCCACUCAGGGCAUGCACUGCCAUCUCCAGCUUCCAAGCAGAGUCCAGCUGAACAGGCUGAUCCCUUCAGUGGUCCACUUUUGAAGGGCUUUGAUCAUUUCCUCAGCGUCCUUAACCAAGGGGUGGAUGUACAGAGGCUGUCUGAGAUAGUGAAUGAGGCUCAGGCUGAAGUUGUGAAUAACAAGCCAGCUGCUCCUAUUCGUGGUGAGACAUGUAGGAGUGUGGAUGUAGACGAUAAAAAGUACAGAGAAUCGAAAGACAAGGAAAAGGGGUCCAAAAGGAAGAUAAAGGACUCCAGAUAUGGGAAUAGUCCCUCAAGAGACAAGGACAGACAGUCUAGAGACUCAAGAGAGAGAGACAGGGGCUGGGACUUGAGAGAGGAAGACAUGAAUUUAAGACACAAGAAGUUGGAGUCGAAAGAUGAUUGCAGGGAUUCAGAACACAGAGGCAGCAUAUCUAAGAUGGGGGACGGGGAAUUGGGAAACAGGGACAGGAAUGUGAGAAACAAAGACAAGGACACAAACGACCUUAGACAGGAUUCCCUGAGCCCGAGGAGAAGAUGCUCAAGAGACAGGAGGAGCAGGAGCAGGUCUUCUAGCUCCAUCUCAUCGUCCUCAGAGGACGAGAGGAAGAUGGAGAAAAAGGAACAUCUCUCCAGGGUCCAGACCCUCCUCCAGAUAGUGGGGCUUGACUUGGGGAUAGAGGGGCUGGACCGACUCAGGGGUAGGACCCAAGAGAUGCUCCAUGGGACAAAGCAUCCAAGAGGCAGAGGGGAUGGCAGGCAGCGACGACGACGGCACAGGGACUCUUCAUGGUCAGAAAGCUUGCAUGAUUCUUCCCCAGAUUCUCACCAUAGGCGACAUGACUCCCAGAAGCACAGAGGUUCCCAUGGCACUGAACGCCCUCGGAGGGUUUCUGAAACAAACCUCACUCAAUCAGUACAGGAAGUUACUGGAAGCUACCCUAUCAGCCCUGCUCCCCAGAAUAUGCCCGUGUCCACAUUCUCACAGCCUCCACUAGCAAACUAUUCAAGCUAUACAGCGAUGUAUCAUAACUCCUAUGAUGGCCAGGACCACAGUGCCUCUGUCCAGAGCUGGACUGCUGUUGGGUGGAGUGGAGUGCCGCCUCCUGGCCCUCCCUGUUCCUAUGGCCCACCUCUUGGCAACAUAUUACCAGGGACCCCUCAGUUCACCCCUCCGCCUUUGAUGGUCACAGGCUCCCACAAUGCACCAUACCAGCUUCCACCACCUCAGUAUCCUACGCACUUGGGACCUCCACCACUACUACCAGCAUCACAACCCCCACGUCAUCUGCUUCCACCACCACAAUUCUCAUGUCAACUGCCUCCACCGCCCCACCUCCUGCCACCCCCGCAUCCACCACUCCUACCCCCAUCUCAUCUGCCUCCACCACUCCUACCCCCAUCUCAUCUGCCUCCACCACUCCUACCUCCUCCUCAUAUGCCUCCACCAACACCACCACAACCCCCACCUCAUCUUCCGCCACCGCCCCACCUCCACCCACCCCCACGUCCACUCCUUCCAAACCCUUCUUUUCCACCUUCAGCUUACCCGCUUCUCCCAUCAACCCCACCCCCGCCACCCAAACAGGUGACAGCUGCGCCGAAUCUCAGGGUGGCCGAGAUGCAGGGGUCAUCAGAGAAGGACUUGACAGCAGCGGACCUCCCACCUUUUCCACAAGAAUGUGAACCACCAUGGAAGAGCGGGGUGACUUCCACGGAUUACGCGCUGCUGUGCAGUAUUUACCCGAAGGAAAAAAGAAAAACCAAGAAGGAUAUCGCUGCUGGGGCUGCCGUCUGUAGCCCUGCUGUUGUUGCCGCCGCAAAAGCAGCGUGCCACGCAGCUCUGCCAGGAGGGAGUGAACCAGCAGCGAAGAGCGGGGUGACGCAUUACAAGAAAUGUCAAGAACUUAUUGUUGCUUCUUUUUCUGAGUCGCAAACUAAGCCCACCAAGAGGGAACUAAGAUAUCUGGCCUGGAGGGUCACAAAGAAGGCUAAGAAGGCUGAGAAGGCUGAGAAGGCUGUCUGCACAUGCUAUGGCUAUGGGUGCAGACACUGUGGCCGUGCUGUAACUGCACCGCCUGCUAAGCUUGGUAGAACACUAAAGGGUAGGCAGAAGGUGGCGAAGGCAGGAUGUAGAAGGGGAAAAUGGACGCCUCAGAAGGCUGCUCUGGAUGUUGCUGGGACUGCUACUGCGACUGCGACUGCUGUGGCUUCAGCAGGUACAACUGGUGACCACUGAUGGUCCUCCAGCUUCCAAAGCUGAUGAGCAGCAACAGCCAUGAAACACGCAAUAAGCACAGGGAAGCUGAGCUAGCAGUAGCAAAAACCCAGACAUGAUUGGAUGAACUCAGUAAAGACAUGGUAGGGUAACGGAGGAAAAUAUUGACCCUGAUUGGCUGAUGAAGAAGGACAAAUACAGUGCCCUAUCGCUGGCCCUUACCCACAUGACUGGACAUGUUUGAGAGAACAUCCAUUAUUUUUCCGUUCUGCCAUAACCUGUUGAAGUAUCUUGUUCUUUGAUCUGUUUCCACACAUGACUUUUGACCAUAGACGUUUGGAGACGAUCUCAGUACCAUAUAGGGAAUCACCACACCCCCACACAAUCCCUAAACUCAGAGAAUGUGUAUUUCCAUCUUGAAUUUAAUUAAUCUCGAAUGUUUCCUACAUGUACCUACAUGUGUAUGUAACAUUUGACUUGUAAUUUCUUUCUGUUGUCUGUCUGUAGGAAUAAAGUUAUAAACAUUGCUGCUCCCA
ensembl:lncRNA